rnacentral:rRNA from 1 species
GAUGAACGCUGGCGGCGUGCCUAAUACAUGCCAGUCGAGCGAACAGAUGAGGAGCUUGCUCCUCUGACGUUAGCGGCGGACGGGUGAGUAACACGUGGAUAACCUACCUAUAAGACUGGGAUAACUUCGGGAAACCGGAGCUAAUACCGGAUAAUAUAUUGAACCGCAUGGUUCAAUAGUGAAAGACAGUUUUGCUGUCACUUAUAGAUGGAUCCGCGCCGCAUUAGCUAGUUGGUAAGGUAACGGCUUACCAAGGCAACGAUGCGUAGCCGACCUGAGAGGGUGAUCGGCCACACUGGAACUGAGACACGGUCCAGACUCCUACGGGAGGCAGCAGUAGGGAAUCUUCCGCAAUGGGCGAAAGCCUGACGGAGCAACGCCGCGUGAGUGAUGAAGGUCUUCGGAUCGUAAAACUCUGUUAUUAGGGAAGAACAAAUGUGUAAGUAACUAUGCACGUCUUGACGGUACCUAAUCAGAAAGCCACGGCUAACUACGUG